AGGUAGUAUAUUUACAAACCAAUUUAUCAUGACGGCAUUUCAUUUUAUUAGAGGAAUUUGUUUUUUAAUCGAUAAUCCACGUUAAUUUUCACUUCUAUUAAAAUUUUAUAUACCGCCAUCUAAAGAAAUAAUUUAAAAUUUCAUUCUAAAUAAAAAAUAAAAAGUUAGGUCAAGGUGUAAUCAAUAUGAAAGAUAAAAUGAAUUACUUUUAACAAAAUUAAAGGAUUUUUUAGAUAAACUUAAAAAUAAAUUAGGAUUUAAAUGUAUAAUAUUAAUAAUAAUCUUACUUGAAUAAAAUAAUAAAUGUGU
rnacentral:rRNA from 1 species